rnacentral:rRNA from 1 species
ACCCUCAUCCUUAGUUGCCAUCAGGUAAUGCUGGGGACUUUAAGGAAACUGCUAGUGAUAAACUGGAGGAAGGUGGGGAUGAUGUCAAGUCAUCAUGGCCCUUAUGGAGUGGGCUACACACGUGCUACAAUGGUGGCUACAAUGGGCUGCAAAGUCGCGAGGCUAAGCUAAUCUCUUAAAAGCCAUCUCAGUUCGGAUUGUACUCUGCAACUCGAGUACAUGA